AAGUUAAUGAUAAAAAAUUAGACAACAUUCUGAACAUUCUGAAUGGGUACAAUAAUAUUCAUUAUAAUAAAACUGUAUUCAUAAUUCAUAUAUUAAUAUCUAAAUUAUUUCUUAGAAAAUCGAGACAAUGGAUUCGUCACUUUGAAAAUUAAAAACUUAUGAUGGACAAUCCAUGUUGGAUAUGAAUUUAAUGGCAUGAAUGUACAAUGUGUAAUUUAUAACGGAAUUAAACCUAUUGAUGGCCAAUAAAUUAAUAAUUUUGGAUGACAAGUGAAAAAUUAUUACAACAUAAAAUCUGUACUUAUCAAUAGCAGAUGCUGGGAGAAUUUUCUAGCAAAAACCUGUUUAUAUAUUUUAGCAUCUGAAAAAUGGACAGUCAAAGCAGCUGGUAUUCAAUUUACAAAUGUACAGAACUAAAUGAACAUAGAUCAUAUAAAUAGUAGUUUUUUACUAGAUGUUCUAUGGUCAUUUGUUGAGAAAAACCAGUAUUGUGCCAAAUCUGUGGUGAAUCUUUAACAGAAAAACAGCUUGUAUACUGCCGAAACUAAGAAAAACCAAAGUCCAUAUAACCUAUAUAAGCUCCCAAGAAAUCAAGUUCAAGCUGUAUAUCAUGAAUAAAAAAAAUAGUUAUAAUAAUAAAGUUUAUUAAUAAUAUUUAAGUAAAAAGUAAUUAUUAUGCAUUAUAAAAGUGAAUAUAAUGAUUCUUACGCGAUAUA